AAGUCGUAACAAGGUUUUCGUAGGUGAACCUGCGUAAGGAUCAUUAACGAGCAAAAGCCAAACACUUGGCUUUGUUCAAGCAAUGUUCAAGUCCUUGAGACCACUAGCUGGCUCAGGGCGGCUUUAAUUUAAAGCGACAACUGGCGAAAGCUUGGCUAGAGUUGACUGCAGUGAGUUAACUUGGAGCAGCUGUGCUGUUAGUGUUCCAGUGUUUUCAAUGGCUGGGUGCCCAAUCCUUGCUUUUUUUGCUAGGGCUGCAUCUUCUGGGAAUGCAGCGGGCCGAAAGGUUGGCGUUCACUG
rnacentral:misc_RNA from 1 species